rnacentral:rRNA from 1 species
GACGAACGCUGGCGGCGUGCUUAACACAUGCAAGUCGAACGGAAAGGCCCUGCUUUUGUGGGGUGCUCGAGUGGCGAACGGGUGAGUAACACGUGAGUAACCUGCCCUUGACUUUGGGAUAACUUCAGGAAACUGGGGCUAAUACCGGAUAGGAGCUCCUGCUGCAUGGUGGGGGUUGGAAAGUUUCGGCGGUUGGGGAUGGACUCGUGGCUUAUCAGCUAGUUGGUGGGGUAGUGGCUUACCAAGGCUUUGACGGGUAGCCGGCCUGAGAGGGUGACCGGCCACAUUGGGACUGAGAUACGGCCCAGACUCCUACGGGAGGCAGCAGUGGGGAAUAUUGCACAAUGGGCGGAAGCCUGAUGCAGCAACGCCGCGUGCGGGAUGACGGCCUUCGGGUUGUAAACCGCUUUCGCCUGUGACGAAGCGUGAGUGACGGUAAUGGGUAAAGAAGCACCGGCUAACUACGUGCCAGCAGCCGCGGUGAUACGUAGGGUGCGAGCGUUGUCCGGAUUUAUUGGGCGUAAAGGGCUCGUAGGUGGUUGAUCGCGUCGGAAGUGUAAUCUUGGGGCUUAACCCUGAGCGUGCUUUCGAUACGGGUUGACUUGAGGAAGGUAGGGGAGAAUGGAAUUCCUGGUGGAGCGGUGGAAUGCGCAGAUAUCAGGAGGAACACCAGUGGCGAAGGCGGUUCUCUGGGCCUUUCCUGACGCUGAGGAGCGAAAGCGUGGGGAGCGAACAGGCUUAGAUACCCUGGUAGUCCACGCUGUAAACGGUGGGUACUAGGUGUGGGGUCCAUUCCACGGGUUCCGUGCCGUAGCUAACGCUUUAAGUACCCCGCCUGGGGAGUACGGCCGCAAGGCUAAAACUCAAAGGAAUUGACGGGGCCCCGCACAAGCGGCGGAGCAUGCGGAUUAAUUCGAUGCAACGCGUAGAACCUUACCUGGGUUUGACAUGGAUCGGGAGUGCUCAGAGAUGGGUGUGCCUCUUUUGGGGUCGGUUCACAGGUGGUGCAUGGCUGUCGUCAGCUCGUGUCGUGAGAUGUUGGGUUAAGUCCCGCAACGAGCGCAACCCUUGUUCACUGUUGCCAGCACGUUAUGGUGGGGACUCAGUGGAGACCGCCGGGGUCAACUCGGAGGAAGGUGGGGAUGACGUCAAGUCAUCAUGCCCCUUAUGUCCAGGGCUUCACGCAUGCUACAAUGGCUGGUACAGAGAGUGGCGAGCCUGUGAGGGUGAGCGAAUCUCGGAAAGCCGGUCUCAGUUCGGAUUGGGGUCUGCAACUCGACCUCAUGAAGUCGGAGUCGCUAGUAAUCGCAGAUCAGCAACGCUGCGGUGAAUACGUUCCCGGGGCU